rnacentral:rRNA from 1 species
CCUACGGGAGGCAGCAGUGGGGAAUUUUGGACAAUGGGCGAAAGCCUGAUCCAGCAAUGCCGCGUGAGUGAAGAAGGCCUUCGGGUUGUAAAGCUCUUUUGUCAGGGAAGAAACGGUGAAAGCUAAUAUCUUUUGCUAAUGACGGUACCUGAAGAAUAAGCACCGGCUAACUACGUGCCAGCAGCCGCGGUAAUACGUAGGGUGCAAGCGUUAAUCGGAAUUACUGGGCGUAAAGCGUGCGCAGGCGGUUUUGUAAGUCUGAUGUGAAAUCCCCGGGCUCAACCUGGGAAUUGCAUUGGAGACUGCAAGGCUAGAAUCUGGCAGAGGGGGGUAGAAUUCCACGUGUAGCAGUGAAAUGCGUAGAUAUGUGGAGGAACACCGAUGGCGAAGGCAGCCCCCUGGGUCAAGAUUGACGCUCAUGCACGAAAGCGUGGGGAGCAAACAGGAUUAGAUACCCUGGUAGUCCACGCCCUAAACGAUGUCUACUAGUUGUCGGGUCUUAAUUGACUUGGUAACGCAGCUAACGCGUGAAGUAGACCGCCUGGGGAAGUACGGUGCAAGNUUAAACACAANAGAGUUAGNGNGNGAGAGNGCGACGACGACGACGAGGAGGAGG